AUGUCUCUUUUCUUGCAGAAACACUUCAGCAAUGAUUGUCUUAAAGUGUUCACUGUGAGCGCAAAACAGUUUCUAAAGAGAAAAAGAUCUAAACCUACCACUCUACAAGAAGAGGACACUGAAAUACCUGCACUUCAGGGAUUCCUAAAACAGCUCAAUGACCAUCACUCAGAAAAGUUGAACGACAUGUAUGUGUGUGGAGCUUAUGGGUUUCUGUCAUUGAUGCAAGGAGCCCGCAGCAGAGACACGGCUGAUGCCAAAACAAAAGUACGGUCACAACUUGUAGAAAACUUAAAGAGUGAACUUCAGAAAAUCAAGAAAACAACGGAAGAGACUUAUGAGGAUUUUGAAAAACGUCUGACUAAGGGAGUUAAAAAUUCAGAAAGUUCAUGUGACGCAACCUUGAAAUCUUUUUUAAAUCCAGUAAGUAUUUAA
rnacentral:lncRNA from 1 species